CCCUUUCUGCGUCUCUGCUCGAUCUCUACUCAGUUCCCGAGCACCGGUGAUCAACCAGUGUCAUUCCGAGUAUUCAGACUCCACAAUAAUUUUCAGAUAAACGGUUUGUUCUUUUUUCAUGGCGAAGUGCUAUCCAACUGUGAGCGAGGAGUACCAGAAAGCGGUUGAGAAAUGCAAGAGAAAGCUGAGAGGACUGAUCCAAGAGAAGCACUGCGCUCCUAUAAUUCUCCGAGUGGCGUGGCACUCGGCUGGGACGUUCGAUGUGGCAACGAAGACCGGAGGGCCGUUCGGGACGAUCAGGGACCCGGCGGAACUGACUCAUGAAGCAAACAAGGGACUCGAGAUUGCAGUCAGGAUUUUGGAGCCGAUCAAGGAGCAGUUUCCGAUUCUCUCAUACGCAGACUUCUACCAGUUGGCUGGAGUAGUAGCUGUAGAAGUAACAGGAGGGCCAGAGAUUCCUUUCCACCCUGGUAGACCGGACAAAGAAGCACCACCACCGGAAGGUCGCUUGCCUGAUGCCAAGAAAGGUGUGGAUCAUCUGAGGGAUGUAUUUGGUGGCCAUAUGGGUCUCAGUGAUAAGGACAUUGUUGCACUAUCUGGUGGACACACCUUGGGUAGGUGCCACAUGGAGCGCUCUGGAUUUGAGGGACCCUGGACAACCAAUCCCCUCAUUUUUGACAACUCCUAUUUCAAGGAACUUAUUAGUGGAGAGAAGGAAGGUCUGAUCCAGCUCCCAUCAGAUAAGGCUCUUCUUGAGGAUCCAGUUUUUCGUACUUUUGUCGAGACCUAUGCUGCGGUUUGUAUCUUCUAAUCCAUUGUGUAAUCUUGGAUGAGGAUGCUUUCUUUGCUGACUAUGCUGAAGCCCGUUUGAAGCUCUCAGAGCUUGGAUUUGCAGAUACUGAGUGAAGGAAUUGUAAACAAGCUAGGUGGUGCCUUGUAUGAAUUCUCCUAUACUAAUAGACUGAAUUUUUGCUUGUAAUACUUUGUGCUGUAUAUUUGGUUUUUUGGCAAUGCCCAUAGAAGGCAAGCUAUAAUAACACGGCAGCUGCACUGCUAAACUAGUUGGGGAGUUGGGCAAACUAGUGUUUAUAAUCUCUUGUGUUUGAAAAUUGGAGUGGCAGUUAUGUUUUUGUCUUUGUUGCUAAAUGUACCAAUCAAAUUUCUUAAUGUACUCAACAUUUCAAUAUUUUGCUUCA